GCUCCUGUAGUUCAAUGGAUAGAAUAGAGGUUUCCUAAACCUUUGAUCAGAGUUCGAUUCUCUGCGGGAGUA
rnacentral:tRNA from 1 species